rnacentral:rRNA from 1 species
AGCGAACGCUGGCGGUAGGCUUAACACAUGCAAGUCGAACGGCAGCACAGUAAGAGCUUGCUCUUACGGGGGGGGAGUGGCGGACGGGGGAGGAAAACAGCGGAAUCUACUUCUUCGUGCGGGAUAACGUAGGGAAACUUACGCUAAUACCGCAUACGACCUACGGGUGAAAGCAGGGGAUCUUCGGACCUUGCGCGAGUGAAUGAGCCGAUGUCGGAUUAGCUAGUUGGCGGGGUAAAGGCGCACCAAGGCGACGAUGCGUAGUUGGUCUGAGAGGAUGAUCGACCGCACUGCAGCGGAGACACGGUCCAGACGACUACGAGGGGCAGCAGCAGGGAAUAUUAGACAAUGGGGGGAAGCCGGAUCCAGCCGUGACGCGUGGGGGAAGAAGGCCUUCGGGGUGUAGAGACCUUCUGUUGCGAGAGAAGAGCAGCUGGUUAAUUCCUCGCUGGUUUGACGGUACCCGAAGAAUAAGCGCCGGCUAACUUCGUG